UCCCCAACUCAUGAUGAAUCUGUGUGCCUCUGAACUGCUGUGAUACUGGCUUCAAAGUAAACGCUCUGAAGAGAUGGGGCAGGGG